UACAAGAGAUUUUAGCGGAGUUUAGUAAACGCGAUUAGGAUAAUCCGGUACAGAUAGAUGGAGGAGUAGUUGGUGUUUGUUUGCUUCUUCUAGAGAUGAGUGAGUCAGUGAGAGCAGAUGCCGUUGGACAGUUAUUGUCUAAGGAGUAUGGUGUCCGGUCUUUUUUCACAUAAUACUAUAAUUUCAGAUUAUAUAAUUUUCACAAAUAUCAAUUUCUACUUUUUAAGGAGUACAUGCCAAGUUGCCAAUUUGAUUUUAGUGUUUGGGUAUUAGCGGAACAGCUUAUUAACGAUUAAAUAAUUAGUUAUAUUUUCUUAGUGAUACAAAAGCAAAUACUUAAAAAUAAACAUGAGAAAAAACCUAAAAUUAACUCUAAGUUUAAAUUUAAUUUUAAAGUUUAGCUUAUGUUGGUAAUGUAAAGGCUAAACGGUGGGGCUGAACAGGGUUUUAGAAGUAAAGAAUUAAAGGUUUUCUUUCCCCGAAAAAGAUAAAGGGGUUUUAAAAUUCGGUUCUUGAUUGAGUUUAGAUUUCUUGGAAUAUAAAAGAUAUAUGCAGGACAAUGUGAAGAGGACUUUGACGUUUGAAACCUCGCACGGACGACUUGUGGAGCUCAAAUGCGACGGCGACAAGCGGCAAAGAAAAAAAAAACACACCAGCUUGGAAAGUUGGUUUGGAUCAGCAACCUGGGGAAGAAGAGGAUGAUAGAAACUGAAGCUUCGGUUCAGACUUGACCUGUCAGGAUCAACUAACUAGAAGGAAAUUGCAUGUUCAGUUCAGACUUCAGGGUUUACUCUUUCAAUGAGAAGACUUGAGAACUGAAGAGUUUAUUACUGUAUUUUCUUUUUUUUUCGUUUCUGUGGGGUUUAAGCCUUCAUAGUUCAGACCAGUCCAGAACUUCAAAUUUCAUCAGGUUCAGUAGCAAAUCCGCAGAGAAAAAAAGAGGAGAGAAUGUAUUCAUCUUAUGUUUGUACGAGUAGUAGUAUAGAUCAAGGAUGAGUUUAUUCAUAAUAUUUUUUGUGUUUUGGAAUCUACCAUAAAUCGUAAGCACGUGCAUGGAAUCCAUGGAAUGUUUCUUUUUUA